GUCAAAUUUUGUGUAGAGGAUAAACAACAAAAGUUCAGUCUUUUGUUCCAUCAACAAUUUUUGAAAUGAAUUUUUACAUCUGAAGAUGGUUAAUAUUUCUAAAGACGACAAACAUUUAAACAAAAAAACCUUCCAAGAAAAAUGUGGAGCUAAAUCAAGACCCACUUGAAACAUUUAUAAAAGAGACAAAUAACCCAAAAAAGUGCUGAGAAAAACAAUCAAAUUUGCAAGAAAAACUUGAACUCUAAUGGACCAAAUAAAUGAUACCAGAUCUUGGGAUGCCCGAGAUAUGAAAAAGUCCUAGCGUCUUUAAUGUGUCACUCUUCUAGGAUAUUUAACCCUGCUGAAAAAAAACCUUUUGCCAGAGUGGAGAUGAAAAAAUAAACAUUUCAUUGUUAUGGGCGACUAAAGAAGUUCUUAGAAAAGAAUAAAGCUCCCCUGAACUUA